rnacentral:rRNA from 1 species
CAUCAGACGUAAUCUGCCGCAAAUAUUUUGCGGUUUAUCCGUAUUGAUUGGAUAACUUGUCGCGAAACGCCAAGCUAAUACAUGAGUCGAAGGGGUGUUUCCACUCAACGGGAUGAUGUCCUUCGGGGCUGAUUCCCAGCGAAACGCCUUGCGAAUGAAUGAACUUAGAACCAAUGCCCCGCUCAGGGUGCAGCAACACCAGAAGUGUUGACUCAAUUCAUUCCGUGCGAAAGCUGGUUUACCAGCGUCUUUUGACGAACAACUGCCCUAUCAGCCAGAUGGCCGUGUAGUGGACUGCCAUGGCGUUGACGGGAGCGGGGGAUUAGGGUUCGAUUCCGGAGAGGGAGCCUGAGAAAUGGCUACCACUUCUACGGAGGGCAGCAGGCGCGCAAAUUGCCCAAUGCCAAAACAAAUGAUGAGGCAGCGAAAAGAAAUAGGUGCCCGAAACCCUCUGGGUUUAGGGCUUUCAAUGGGGGAUAUCUAAACCCAUCCAACAUCGAGUAACAAUUGGAGGACAAGUCUGGUGCCAGCACCCGCGGUAAUUCCAGCUCCAAGAGCGUAUAUUAACGCUGUUGCUGUUAAAGGGUUCGUAGUUGAAUUGUGGAUUGUCGGGAUGUUUGAUCAAGUCCUUUCCAAUACGGAAUAGG